GCUGGGUUGAGACUGGAAGGCACAGAAUUAUGAUAACUUCAGACCCCUCUAAAGGAGUGACUGCACAGGGAAGUUAAAGCCAGGAUUACAGUUAUAAAGUUGUGGAAUUAAGUCUUUCCCAAGAUUGUAAACCACAUGCAGUGACAAAAGUACCAAAUACCCAUCUGAACACGAUGUGGCAGCUAUGAUAGAAUAUGCAUUCGCUCGUUCGUUCGUUUAGUCGUGUCCGACUCUUCGUGACCCCAUGGACCAGAGCACGC